rnacentral:rRNA from 1 species
GAUGAACGCUGGCGGCGUGCCUAAUACAUGCAAGUCGAGCGAACAGACGAGGAGCUUGCUCCUCUGACGUUAGCGGCGGACGGGUGAGUAACACGUGGAUAACCUACCUAUAAGACUGGGAUAACUUCGGGAAACCGGAGCUAAUACCGGAUAAUAUAUUGAACCGCAUGGUUCAAUAGUGAAAGACGGUUUUGCUGUCACUUAUAGAUGGAUCCGCGCCGCAUUAGCUAGUUGGUAAGGUAACGGCUUACCAAGGCAACGAUGCGUAGCCGACCUGAGAGGGUGAUCGGCCACCCUGGAACGGAGACACGGUCCAGACUCCUACGGGAGGCAGCAGUAGGGAAUCUUCCGCAAUGGGCGAAAGCCUGACGGAGCAACGCUGCGUGAGUGAUGAAGGUCUUCGGAUCGUAAAACUCUGUUAUUAGGGAAGAACAAAUGUGUAAGUAACUAUGCACGUCUUGACGGUACCUAAUCAGAAAGCCACGGCUAACUACGUG